CCGCCAACCAUUUCUCUGCACUCGGACGCGAGCCAACCAACCGAAACGGUGACCGGCCACAUACAUAGCAGAAGAGGACUCCGUCGCCCCGCCACCGGCCACCGCCAUCGAGUACGCAGUCGGCGUUCUUCUUCUUUGCCCGAUCACCUGUCCUUCUUAUGGUGUCUGCUCAACCCGGCGCGCCCGAUGGUGGAGGCGGCAGCGGUAACAGAAGAGGAGCAACGGAGGAUGCGCCCCUCGUCAGUCGUCUUCUUCCCCACAGACCUCCUCCACUCAAGUCACUCCCCCGAGCCUCCACCGACGACCCCAGCAAGAAGAUCCGCAAGCCUUACACCAUCACCAAGUCCCGCGAGAGCUGGACCGAGCAGGAGCACGACAAGUUCCUCGAAGCCCUCCAUCUCUUCGAUCGGGACUGGAAAAAGAUAGAAGCAUUUGUUGGCUCGAAGACAGCUAUUCAGAUAAGGAGCCAUGCACAGAAGUAUUUCCUUAAGGUCCAGAAGAAUGGUACAAGUGAACAUGUACCUCCACCUCGACCCAAGCGGAAAGCAGCUCAUCCAUAUCCUCAUAAAGCCCCUAAAAAUGGCACUGCCUCUGUCCAGCUUUCCUGUUUACUUGAACCAGGUGAUGCCCUCGCGGUAGACUUUUCUUCUACACCUGGAAACUCUACCUCGAAAGUGCAAAUGCAUUCCAAGGGCCACAGUUGUCUCCAGCCAGUUACUGCAUCUCACCAAAUAGCAGCUUUGCAGCUGAUACAAAGCCUGCUGGAGUGUCAACGACAAAUAAUUGUUCUACUAGCACAAUCUGCCUUACAACCUGGCCAACUUCUGAAACCGCUGAUCGAGAAAAGCUUACCAUGGAUCCUCGUGAUUUUGCUAAAGUCUACAGCUUUCUCGGAAGUGUCUUUGAGCCUGGCAGUACUGGUCAUUUGGAAAAACUAAAGGAGAUGGAUCCAAUUGAUGUUGAAACAGUAUGCUAUCUUCCACAACCAGAGCCUUUUACAAAUGUUGCUCGUCUUGCAGAAUGCCUUAUGCUUAGUUUUUCUAGCAAGGUGCUGCUUCUGAUGAGGAACUUAGCCUUGAACUUGAUUAGUCCAGACUAUGAAUCCCAUAUAAGGUUACUCUCAUCAUCGGCGGACGUGAAAUUCGCUAUCACAAAUAACAUUUUCAGUGCAUGUUAAACUGCUGCUCCUUUCAUGGUUAACCUACUGCAGAUGCUGCCCUGUAACAAUGAGAGUCAUUGAGAUGCAGAGGGCGGGCAAAGAUAAAUUCAAGGGCUGCGGCAAGGGAGGGUGUUUAAGGUAACGAGUGGAGAGGUGGAAGUGAUAUGCAGUCCUUUAAGCUGCCACUAGCCAUCGAUGAUUGACUGAUCAAUGUCAGCUACCAGUUGGAGAUGCUAGCUUGCAGCAAUCAGUAAGACUUAACUGUGAUCAUGGUAAAAGAAUCAUAAUCCAUUACUACUCUGUUGUAGAGAGUAUUAUAAAGAGAUCUCUAUAUAAUUUA